GCAAGUCGAAUGCUUAGCUUGCUAAGCAUGGCAAACGGGAGAGUAACACAUUGGUAAUCUAUCCCGAGGACGAGGAUAAUCCUGCGAAAGCGGGAAUAAUACUCGAUAAUAGUGGGGGGUCUUAUGACAUUCCCACUUAAAGUUCCGGCGCCUCGGGAGGAGCCUAUGGCCUAUCAGCUUGUUGGUUGGGGUAAAAGCCCACCAAGGCUAUGACGGGUAGCGGGUGUGAGAGCAUGGCC
rnacentral:rRNA from 1 species